GGCUGCCCAAGGCAGAUGGAGGAAUGGAAACUGAGAAAGCAUCAUAGGCUCAUGUCUAACAACAUGAACAGACUCUGGAACCUCAGAAGUAAAAUGCAAAGGCGAGGACAGCCCAGGAGGAAGCUCCACUCCUGCCUAAGGACCCCAAAGCACUCAAACGCUAUCUUCUGAAGGACUUUGGGAGACAAUAGAGCUAUUGACAGAUCUGAAGUCUACAUCAUGGAACAGAAAUGUGACACUGUGGAUACCAGAGAGCUGGAUUCAGGAAGUUGGCUGUGAAAUCUGGAUUCUCGCAAAAGAGCACAAACAUUCACUUCAGAUGUGGCUGAAGGACAGUGGAAAAAGAAGAACUUCCCAGAAAGAGAGCCAGUGGCCAUAGAAACAAAUGGACAAGAGGCUGUAUCAACAACUAGUCAGCUGACCUUCUCCGCCAUAGUAGGAGGCCUUCAAAAUGCCUUCUCAGAGUGAUUAAGAAUUAAUAUGGAUUGAUCC
rnacentral:lncRNA from 1 species